ensembl:lncRNA
GAAGGUAGUUUGUUGUUACUCGGGACAGACCUAGGAAGAAUGUCAUUUUGAAUUAUUGUUUUUGUCAUUCAGUUGGGUGAAGCAGUUGAAAAGGAAGUUUAUUUUUUAAACUUGCCACCUGUUCUUUUUGCAGUUUUUUGGUGUCAAGCCAACAAAAAUAUUAACAGCCGCAUCACAACCAUAGUCAAGUUUAGAGGAAAUAUUUUGCAUAUGAACUAAUGACAUGAUUAUGCAACUUUUUAAAAUGGCAAAUGAUAGCUAUUGAAAGUAAAUUUUACUGAGAGUUCAGGUGGAAUCAUAGGAUCACAGAAUCAAUAGGGUUGGAAAAGACCACUAAGACCAUCUAGUCCAACCAUCAACCCAUCCCCACCAUGCCCACUAACCAUGGCCCUCCCUGCCACAUCCACCCUUAUCUUGAACACAUCCAGGGACAACAACUCCACCACCUCCCUGGGCAGCCUAUUUCAGUGCAUCACCACUCUUUCUGAGAAAACAUGUUUCCUAAUAUCCAAACUGAUGCAUAGAAAAGCACACAACUUAGACUUGCAAACUGCAUAUAUUCCAUAGACCAUUAAUAAUGGAUUUUAAGUGAAGUGAGAGUGAAAGAUCAGUUCUCCAUUCAUAUGCUGAGUUCCUAGAACAAAUUAGAGAUAACUAUUUUUAAAAGUAACAUUUAAUUUCAAAAAGUAAUGCAGCAUUGUUUUAUUAUAAUAUAUAUGUGUAUGUAUAAAUCUGUGCUAUAUAAAUGCAUAUAUACACACACAUCUGUGGAUUUAAUUGCUUAUAUAUGUGUAUAAACAAUCACAGAUACACACGCACUCACAUAUCAUAGAAUAAUAGAAUCAGUAAAAUCAAUAAAAUCACAAAAUCAUCUAAUCCAACUCAAUACAAUCAAUAAAAUCAUUUAAUCCAACCAUCAGCCCAUGCCUGUGAUCUCUGGUCCAUGUCACUUGGUGCAACAAAUAUCAUAUUUAUAGGAUGUUGGUGGAGGCCUGCAUCUUGUGCACAUAUAACUGAUCAUAUUUUGACAUAAUAGAUUUGUAAAAUAGACCUGAAAAAAUGAGCCCUGCUCCAGGGAAAAAUCAGAAUGCUGUGAGAUCCCUGCAGAGGAAAUCGGCAUCUACGCAUUUCAGCCUACUACUCCAACAAAGAGAUCUCUUCAGAUGCCUGCAGCUGUAUUUUUAAAGAUGAGUAACUAAUUAACAACUUUAUCAGCAUAUCUUUAUCAAAAAUUCAUUAUCUUCUCUGGCUUGUAGAUUGCUGUGCACAGGGAAAGAGUUGAUUUUAAUAACAUAAUGAGAGGACAUCAGUUGGCUUUUGGUCAAAUUAUAAUGAUAAUCAUAGCAACAAUAAUAACAAUAAUAAUACAGAGAUAAGAUAGGUCUCCCUUUUUACACAGUGGCUGACAUAUAAGCCCUAAUUUUCCUCCUGAUCCUGUUCCCUUACAGACCUGCUAAAUCAACCCAGUUCAGAACCGUGAGCACUAGGAGUCAAGAUGCAAGAGGAACCAACAUGAUUUAACAAUUGCCUCCUUACUGCCUUGCUCCUGUGGCAUCCCUGCAGAGGAAGGUGGCAAAACAGAUGAAGAUCUCACAUCAUUCGUACACAGUGCCUCUCACGAGUUCUCACUUAGGGC